rnacentral:antisense_RNA from 1 species
AGCUCCGCCCCUGGGCGUGCUCCGGCGCCCCAGAAGGCAGGGGGCAGGCGGGGACCAGGGUCCCGGAGCCCUGUGGGAGGCGGGCAGCACCUGUCGGGACCCGAGGGCUUGUCUCAGAUUGUGACCUGAGGUUCUGCGCCUUCUGGUAUGGGGCAAUGGACAUCCUUUAGCCUCCAGCCCAGAUUCUCCUACCAGCUGCCUGGGUAAUGUCAGUGGAAUUCCUAAAGGGAUGCCUUUAAAAUGCGUGAAUAAGCUUCCAUCAGACUGCCCUUCCCAAAGAAAAUAACUAUAAAUGCUAGAAAAACUACAAAACAGCCACCUGAAGGCACUGGCGAGUGACAAAAGCAAGCAAAUUCUGGAGAAGAGUCAACACUUGGAAGAAGGGAGCUGCACUGGGUACCUGGGGAAGGAACAGUGUCUCUGCAUGAGAAUGGCCAAAGAACAAGAUACAUUUCCCCGUGGAGAGCAAUCCUAGAGAGAGGGAAGCAUGGGUCAGAAUAAGGUAUACUGGCCCCAGGGUAAUAGCAUGUAUUUCUGUUGCUUUGGUGUUUCCAAAAUAAUGCUUCGGUUCCAAGUUUCAGGAAUUGGUUGGGGGAGCAUGGGGAUCAUACAGUGAUUCAGGAGCUUCCUUGCAAGUAACUGAGUGAGCCAAUGAAAUAAUUUAUGUUUAAAUCUUUCACUGUGUUAAAUGUUGAAAAAUAAAACAAGUGAAUUCCA